UGGUGCAAAGACUAGGGGCUGUAGCAGCAGUGUCACUUGAUCCAGCAUCCUAGGUGCCUGUGCACUCUUCGUUACCCGUCGAUCGGCUUGGUGUGCUUCUCCUGUUUGUGGGUUGUGUGCCACGCACUUGAUUAAGCACCCCACAUUCUCCUACAGUGCAUCGUUGACCCUGGCUUUAGGUAGCGUUGUGUCCUCGGCUUGCCGUGCAUAAUCCAGGUACGCGUCGACUAUCCGAGCUCCUGCUCACCAUUGGUGUUUGCUCGAGUGUGGGUUCUCGUGUCGCCCAUAAAGGGCACGGGAUGUGGGAUCGAGAUAGUUCACAUAGCAACCCACAACAAGGCAAUGGAUGCCCAUCCAGACUGACAGGGAGCGGAGGUGGACACAAAAAGAUGGAUGUUGACUCCAUAGGAGUCUCCAUAGUACGCUCGUCCGUAAGAGCAGCAGGAGCAAGAAGAUCCUGGAUAUACUUGUCUUAACAAAUAAAGAAGCCUUCGAAGGUAGACUCAGGGAAGUAGCGAUGAGGACCAAGGUCAGAGAUAAGAAACUCACUAUGACGAGCCUUCACAAAGGCAAUGUACUUAAGAGUCGUGCAGUAUCAUGAGCACUCGCUGAAAAAUGAGUUGCAUUAACCAAAGAGACAACGCUCAAACUAGGCAUGACGGGUUUGCUUAAGACCAUAUAGAGAACGCCGAAGAUGACAAACCAUGACUGCUGGAAAAGAAUACCCAAGUGGUGGGUACGUGUAGGCAUUGUUGACAUCAAGGGUAGAGAGAGAGAUACUAUGUUGGCAAACUGAAGCCACAUCGAAAGUGUGCCAAAAGGGCUCAUCUGGGCCAUACAGGAGCAAAUGUCUCAUCGUAGUCAUGACUAUAUGUUCUCACCACUAGACGAGCUUUGUAAAGCUCUAGAGAAACAUCAUAGUCUCACCCUUGUGGGCCUAGUUACAGUGAUGAGACGAGCAAGAGGAGGAAGGGAAAUGAGAGUCGACUAGCCGACGAGGUGAAGAGCAUUUGAUGCCAUCACAUGCUGCCAUUGUGGAUGAAAAAAAUGUCAUGAUAAGAAGUCUUCUUGUGAAGAGCACCGCAAUAACUAACCAUAGCAGUCAAUAGGCAGAAGCGGGCGAGCUCGAAAGCCAUAAGUAGGCUGAUCUGGAGCUAUGUGUUGCCAACAGAAGAAGACAUAUUAGUCGAGGGAGAUGACUCAUUAGAAGAAUCCACAACACGCGAACAGUGAGUGUACAAAAGUCAAGGAAGACGAGCAAAAGAAGGAACAUGAAAAGAGAAACUGCCAAGAGAGCCUCGACUAUCGACUGGCAGGGAAGUUACCAGGAUAAGAGAACUGAGCAAGAGCACCCUGCUCAACAAGGAUUGAAUGCAACAUCUUGGAGGUUUAUUCUCCAGAAGAGUCAUCACGGAAUACAAGAAUAGGCGUAGAGAACUUGGUGUGAACCAUGGCAGCAAAACGCUUACACAGAUAAGACCUCACUACGAAAGGAGAUAACGUAUAUCCAGGUGUGUUGAGAGAAGUCAUCUAUAAAUAUAGUACUAGCGAUGACCUCCUUUCGAGGCGGAAGGAGGUGGACCCCAGACAUCAAAGUGAACAAGGUUGAAAGGGUUGUUGAGACAUCAAAGUAAACAAGGUUGAAAGGGUUGUUGAGACACUGUCUCGCUAUGAGCAUAAGGUAACUAUAGCUGUUUACCAAGCCGAGAACCCAGACAGUUUAGAGACAUCGUCGGAGACCGAUCCAAGAAGACCAUGUCAAACUAAGGAUGCGAGAUGAGAGCCACACAAGUGACCCCAGGCGACGAUGGCACUUCUAAGCAUAACUGGUAGACAAGGUAACAGAGGUGGAGAGACUAGCGGCUGUAGCAGCAGAGUCACGUGAUCCAGCAUCCUACGUGCAUGUGCGCUCUCCGUUACCCGCCGAUCCGGCUUGGUGUGCUUCUCGUGUUUGCGGGUUGUGUGCCACACUUGAUUAAGCACCCCACGUUCUCCUACAGUGCGCCCUUGACCCUGGCUUUAGGUAGCGCCGUGUCCUCGGCUUGCCGUGCAUAAUCCAGGUAUGCGCCAACUCUCCGAGCUCCUGCUCACCAUUGGUGUUGCUCGAGCGUGGGUUCUGGUGUCGCGCAUAAAGGGAACACGGGAUGUGUGAUUGUGACAGUUCACAUAGCAACCCGCGGCAAGGCAAAGGAUGCCCAUCCAACUGGCAGGGAGCGGAGGUGGACCCAAAAAGGUGGAUGUUGACUCCAUAGGAGUCUCAACAAUGUGCUUGUCAGUAAGAGGAGCAAGAAGAUCCUAGAUAUACUUCUCUUAGCAAAUAAAGAAGCCAUCAAAGGUAGACUCAGGGAAGUAGCGAUGAGGACCAAGGUCAGACAUAAGAAACUCACUGUGACGAGCCUUCACAAAGGCAAUGUACUUAAGAGUCGUGCAUGGUCAUGAGCACCCGUUGAAAAACGAGCCUUAUUAACCACAGAGACAACGCUCAAACCAGUCAUGAGGGGUUUGCUAAAGAUCAUAUAGAGAACGCCGAAGGCGAUAAACCAUGCCGACUGGAAAAGAAUACCCAAGUGGUGGCUACAUGUAGGCAUUGUUGACAUCAAGCUGAGAGAUAGAUAGAUAGAUAGAUAGAGAGAGAGAGCGAGCCUAUGUUGGCAAACAGAAGCACAUCGAAAAGUGUGCCAAAAGUGGUCAUCUGGGCCAUACAGGAGCAAAUGUCUCAUCGUAGUCAUGACUAUAUGUUCUCACCACUAGACGAGCUUUAUAAAGCUCUAGAGAAAUAUCAUAGUCUCACCCUUGUGGGCCUAGUUACAGUGAUGAGACGAGCAAGAGGAGGAAGGGAAAUGAGAUUCCACUAGCCGACGAGGUGAAGAGCAUUAUUGCGGUGGUCUUCUUGUGAAGAGCACCGCAAUAACUAACCAUAGCAGUCAAUAGGCAGAAGCGGACGAGCUCGAAAGCCAUAAGUAGGCUGAUCUGGAGCUAUGUGUUGCCAACAGAAGAAGACAUAGUAGUUGAGGGAGAUGACUCAUUAGAAGAAUCCACAACACGCGAACAAUGAGUGUAGUAAAGUCAAGGAAGAUGAGCAAAAGAAGGAACAUGCAAGACAAACUGCCAAGAGUGCCUCGACUAUCGACUGGCAGGGAAGUUACAUUGACAGUAAAAACAUGAACAUGAGAAUCUAGAUGUGGAAUACCCAAGUGGUGGCUGCACGUAAAACCCCUCACAAAAUUCACCAUUAAAAAAGACAUUCUUAACAUCAAGCCGAGACGAAGUGACGAAUAAAGGCCGCAACAAGAUGUGUGUGAACAAUUGUCGUAUGGCCCGCAUGAGCAAAAACUCUCAUCGUAAUUAGGACCAUGAUUCUACUGAAAGCCACGAGCCACAAGACGAGAUUUGUAAUGUUCAAGAGAACCAUCAGAGCGAGUCUUAACCUUGUAGACGCACCAAGUAAUGGGACGAACACGAGGAGGAAGGGACAUAAUAUCCGAUGUGCUGAUGUGCUCAACAGUAGCAAUAUCCUCUACCAUGGCAAGGCGCCAUUUGGUAUGAAUAACAUCAAGAUAAGAAGUCUGCUCAAGAAAGUAGCGCCAACGUUUCAUAGCCUAAGGCGGUCAACAGGCAAAAGUGUACGAGGUCGCAAGCCAUAAGAAGGCCGAGACGGAGAAAAUGUCACAUCAGUAGAUGCAUCCACAACACACGAACGACGUGUUUAAAAGUGAGGCAAAUGUGGAAGAAUACGAGCAAUAAUCCUCGAGAUAAGCUUAGGUUAUGGGGACAAGGAAGUCACCGGUGAUGAAGGUUUAGAAUCCCGUGAUAAGCGAAGCGAGGAAAUCAUAGGAGAUGAUGGUGCUGAAUCUGUAAUAAUUGGAGAAGCAGGAGCAGUACGAGGAAUGGAAUAGGGCUCAACGAUAGUGAUAGGAAUGUCGGGAAAAGUGAGAUAACACAUCCUCCACUAAAAAGGUCGGGGAUGAUGGCCACACGCAGCAGGGACGAGACUCACUAAAACUCAUACCGUGAGAAAUAGUCACCCGAUGACCAACCUGAUCCCAACAACAAUAUCUCUUAUGGUCAUUGUUGUAUCCUAUGAACACUCAACAUACUAAGUAGUAAGUUUGGUACAUUGACGAGAGGCAGUAAGGGCACAUCAAACACAACCAAACAAUUGAAGCGCUGAAUAAUCUGGAAACGAUCAAAUAGACUCUCGAAAGGAGAUGACCAUGGUGGAAGUGGAGACAAAUUCAACCCAAAAGUGUGGCGUAAGAGAGGCAGUGACCAUCCAAAAGUGUGGCGGAAGAGAGAGCAGUGACAUUGAACCUAUGAGCCGUCUCAAUAGUUGACGAUGCUUGCCCUCAGCCAUGCCAUUUUUGAGCAUGAGCACCAGGAUAAGAGAACUUAGCAAUGGCACCCUGCUCAACAAGGAUUGAGCGCAACAUCUUGGAGAUUUAUUCUCCACCGAGUCAUCACAGAAUACAAGAAUAGGCGUAGAGAGAUACUAUGUUGGCAAACAGAAGCCACAUCGAAAAGUGUGCCAAAAGUGGUCAUCCGGGGCCAUACAGGAGCAAAUGUCUCAUCGUAGUCAUGACUAUGUUCUCACCACUAGAUGAGCUUUGGAAAGCUCUAGAGAAACAUCAUAGCCUCACCCUUUGAUGUCAUCACAUGCUGCCAUUAUGGAUGAAAAAACGUCAUGAUAAGAAGUCGUCUUGCGAAGAGCACCACAAUAACUAACCAUAGCAGGUGAGCUCGAAAGCCAUAAGUAGGCUGAUCUGGAGCUAUGUGUUGCCAACAGAAGAAUACAUAGUAAUCGAGGGAGUUGACUCAUUAGAAGAAUCCACAACACGCGAACAGUGAGUGUAGUAAAGUCAAGGAAGACGAGCAAAAGAUGGAACAUGAAAAGAGAAACUGCCAAGAGUGCCUCGACUAUCGACAGGUAGGGAAGUUACCAGGAUAAGAGAACUGAGCAAGAGCACCGUGCUCAACAAGGAUUGAAUGCAACAUCUUGGAGAUUUAUUCUCCACCAGAGUCAUCACGGAAUACAAGAAUAGGCGUAGGGAACUUGUUCGUGUGCCUUGGCGUCAAAACGCUUACACAUAUAAGACCUCACUACGAAAGGAAAUAAAGUAUAUCCAGGUGUGUUGAGAGAAGUCAUCUAUAAAUAUAGUACUAGCGAUGACCUCCUUUCGAGGCGAAAGGAGGUGGGCCCCAGACAUUAGAGUGAACAAGGUUGAAAGGGUUGUUGAGACACUGUCUCGCUAUGAGCAUAAGGUAAGUAUAGCUGUUUACCAAGCCGACAACCCAGACAGUUUAGAGACAUCAUCCGAGACUGAUCCAAGAAGACCAUGUCAAACUAAGGAUGCGAGAUGAGAGCCACACAAGUGACCCCAGGCGACGAUGGCACUUCUAAGCAUAAAUGGUAGACAAGGUAACAGAGGUGGAGAGACUAGCGGCUGUAGCAGCAGAGUCACUUGAUCCAGCAUCCUACGUGCCUGUGCGCUCUCCGUUACCCGCCGAUCCGGCUUGGUGUGCUUCUCCUGUUUGCGGGUUGUGUGCCAGCACUUGAUUAAGCACCCCACGUUCUCCUACAGUGCGCCCUUGACCCUGGCUUUAGGUAGCGCCUUGUCCUCGGCUUGCCGUGCAUAAUCCAGGUAUGCGCCAACUGUCCGAGCUCCUGCUCACCAUUGGUGUUGCUCGAGCGUGGGUUCUGGUGUCGCCCAUAAAGGGAACACGGGAUGUGGGAUUGAGACAGUUCACAUAGCAACCCACAGCAAGGCAAAGGAUGCCCAUCCAACUGGCAGGGAGCGGAGGUGGACCCAAAAAGGUGGAUGUUGACUCGAAGGAGUCUCAACAGUACGCUUGUCAGUAAGAGGAGCAAGAAGAUCCUGGAUAUACUUCUCUUAGCAAAUAAAGAAGCCAUCAAAGGUAGACUCAGGGAAGUAGCGACGAGGACCAAGGUCAGACAUAAGAAACUCACUGUGACGAGCCUUCACAAAGGCAAUGUACUUAAGAGUCGUGCAGGAUCAUGAGCACCCGUUGAAAAACGAGCCUUAUUAACCACAGAGACAACACUCAAACCAGUCAUGAGGGGUUUGCUAAAGAGCAUAUAGAGAACGCCGAAGGCGACAAACCAUGCCGGCUGGAAAAGAAUACCCAAGUGGUGGUUACAUGUAGGAUUGUUGACAUCAAGCAGAGAGAGAGAGAGAGAGAGAUAGAUAGAGAGAGAGCCUAUGUUGGCAAACAGAAGCACAUCGAAAAGUGUGCCAACAGUGGUCAUCUGGGCCAUACAGGAGCAAAUGUCUCAUCGUAGUCAUGACUGUAUGUUCUCACCAGUAGACGAGCUUUGUAAAGCUCUAGAGAAACAUCAUAGUCUCACCCUUGUGGGUCUAGUUACAAGUAAUGAGACGAGCAAGAGGAGGAAGGGAAAUGAGAUUCCACUAGCCGACAAGGUGAAGAGCAUUUGAUGCCAUCACAUGCUGCCAUUGUGGAUGAAAAAAAUGUCAUGAUAAGAAGUCUUCUUGUGAAGACCACCGCAAUAACUAACCAUAGCAGUCAAUAGGCAGAAGCGGGCGAGCUCGAAAGCCAUAAGUAGGCUGAUCUGGAGCUAUGUGUUGCCAACAGAAGAAGACAUAGUAGUUGUGGGAGAUGACUCAUUAUAAGAAUCAACAACACGCGAACAAUGAGUGUAGUAAAGUCAAGGAAGAUGAGCAAAAGAAGGAACAUGCAAGACAAACUGCCAAGAGUGCCUCGACUAUCGACUGGCAGGGAAGUUACAUUGACAGUAAAAACAUGAACAUGAGAAUCUAGAUGUGGAAUACCCAAGUGGUGGCUGCACGUAAAACCCCUGACAAAAUUCACCAUUAAAAAAGUCUUUGUUAACAUCAAGCCGAGACGGAGUGACGAAUAAAGGCCGCAACAAGAUGUGUGUGAACAAUUGUCGUAUGGCCCGCAUAAGCUGAAACUCUCAUCGUAAUUAGGACCAUGAUUCUACUGAAAGCCACGAGCCACAAGACGAGCUUUGUAAUGUUCAAGAGAACCAUCAGAACUAGUCUUAACCUUGUAGACGCAUCA
rnacentral:lncRNA from 1 species